UACGUAGGGAGCAAGCGUUGUUCGGAUUUACUGGGCGUAACGGGCGCGUAGGCGGCAUAUUAAGUCAGCUGUGAAAUCUCCGAGCUUAACUCGGAACGGUCAGCUGAUACUGAUCUGCUAGAGUGCGGAAGGGGCAAUCGGAAUUCUUGGUGUAGCGGUGAAAUGCGUAGAUAUCAGGAGGAACACCGAUGGCGAAGGCAGGUCUCUGGGCCACUACUGACGCUGAGAAGCGAAAGCAUGGGGAGCGAACAGG
rnacentral:rRNA from 1 species